rnacentral:sRNA from 1 species
AUGCUCUUCUUCCUCUUCUUGCU